AGGAAACACCACCAACUGAGCCACCCAGGCGCGCCUGUGGUUCAAGAGUUCUACACCUGUUUUCUCAUUUGCUCCCCAUCUUCUCAUUCAGCCCUGUGAAGUGGGCAGCACUGAUUUAUUCUCUGGGGUUGGCAGCCUCCUCUUAAGAAGGAUCAGAAAAACUCAAGACGAUAGGAAAGUAAGCCGGCAUGGAAACUAUUGCCCAGCUGACCGCUUUAUCCCGAGCUUCCUGGGCUUCAAAGAAGCGGCUCAACAAUUUUGAGAAGAAAUAUAAUGGUAACGGCAGCGGCUGCGGGAGCCUAACAGACGGAGGUAAGGCAUCCGAAAUACUGAACAGGCCUCUUGGGGCAGACUCCCACCCGGAGCUGCGUAAAGUCUGCUUAAUUAAAUGUGCCUUCUAUUAUGGUCUUUGGUGAUUCACUGAGGAGGAAGAAGAGGCAGUGACCUUGUAUCGAAUCACGGCAAAGGCAAAGACUGCAUGUUAAUUCUCGUGUUGGUAGGAAGGUGUUAAUAACGUCUCCAAGUUGGACGGCUCCUGCCGGAGGACUGACUUCUCUAGGCCUUAAAGACAGCGCCCGGCGCCCCGGCUUUAGCUGUUGGGUGCUGACUAAGCACCUUUCGAGCUGCCUUCAGUUGAAAGACAGAGGAGGCGGAGGAAAUCCUCACUGGGCCAAAUCUAUCCCCUAUGAGAGGGCAGGCUUAAUGAGAAUCGGCCCUGAGCCCUGGCUCGGCAGUGCUUCUGGAAUGCACGUGAUUUACAGCCAGCAGGGGCUGCAGAGUUUUCUGCCUUAGUCUCUCUUUCUCAUGUUUGAAAAACUUGCACGGCCAAAAUUUUAAUUUCAGCUAAUGAAGGCAAAGAGGAAAAAAAAAGAACACGGUAGCUUUACAGCACGCACACAAGGCCUGGAGGAGAUAGGAAGACGAACGCACGUUAGAGCUAACGACUGUGGGGAGCUUCCAGAAUAAGUGGAGAAUAAGUGGACACGUAUACAAACAGGGCAACAUAGCUGACAAACAGAAGCGUGAGCCAGGUUCUGUGGAAGCCUAAAUAUCAUGCAUUUUCCAUUUUCCUUCGGGAGCCUUUCUUCGUCGUGACGGAAUGGUCCUAUGUUAUGAAACCAUCUUUGACAUGGCACGUGACGUCCAACCAACAGGACUGAGUUGUAACGAUUUACUUUCUACAGGUGAGGCUCCUUGGUGGGCAUGGUGUUUUCCCCAAGCCCAAAGGUAAUAUAUUAAUAAGGUCUUGAAAAGUUCAACCAGUAUAGACAGGGCUGAAGUCGUACUUGACUCCUUUUUUUUUUUCCACCUCAUCAUCUCUCAAUUUGAAUCCCUGGAAGGUAGUGAUCAACAUUUCGGUUUGGUGAACAUACUUCCAGAUCUUUUUUGCUUGCAUUUAUACACACAGACACAUAAUCACGCGUACACACAAACAUUCAGAGAUACAAACACACACACACAUGCACACAUUGAGAGAAAACUAUGAAGUUUAAAAAAUAAAUGUGACAAUUCUAUAUACAGAAUUCACUUUCAACUUGCUUUCUAACUUGGGAUAUGUCAGUACAUAGGGACAUCAUUUUUAACGGCUUCGUACUGUUCCACAAUGUUGAUGUGCCUUAAUCAAUAACUUCCUAUGAGUUUAUAAUUUUGUUACCCACAGAUGAUCCCCCCCUUUUUUUUUUACCAUCUCCAAUAUCACAAAGGAUGUCAUUUUACCUGUCCCUAGUAUUACAAAAGCAAGUAUAUAUCUAGGGUAGAUGUGGACACGUAGAUUAGCUGAAUUAAAAAGUCUGAGAUUUUAAAAUUUUUAAAUAGAGGAACAUGGCCAAAAAACUAUUCUACCAGCAACAGUUUGGCCCAUAUUUGUCCCAAUAUGACAUUGUUAAUCUUUUCAACCCUUUGAUAAUCUGACGGAUUAAAAGCAAAUAGAAUUUCA